ACAAAUUAUUUUUAUCACUGAAUAGUAACACACAUUCCUUAGCCUCUCACGCACCACAUGUUUCAUAUCCACACCACGUAGGCACACUACUCUUUUAUCUCUUUCAAUCCAUAAUUUUCUAGCUCUUGUCUUCUUCCUGGUAAUGCCCAAAUUGGGUGUGCAAGCAAAACAAACAGUAGUAGAUCGGUGUUGGCCAUUCUUCUCCUCUGUUGGCAGUAGCAGAAACACAGAAAUUAAAACAGUUUCAGGAGGAAAAUGCUGCUAUAGCUGUAGCCUACACCGCAUAACAAAAUGUUAUUGUUGCCAGCACCCCACCAGCUGAAGUUUCACCCCGCGCCAAGAUGAACUUUUCUGAACCUGAAAAUGUAGUAGAAGAGCAACAACAACCAUCUAAUCUCUGUGUCGUCCUUGUGGUUUGGAGGAGAGGUGCAGGGAGACAUAGGCAGCAGCGGGGAACCACCUCGGUAGGCUUCGACGGCCGGCGCAGGCCAACCCGGUAGAUCAGACAGUCCAUAACUCCAGAUUUAGACGGCAUGCAACUCGAGGAGACCGUGACCUGCAGCUCGCUAGCACGUCGCCUGCUAGUGUUUCGAACGGCCGUAGUAGUCUCCAUGGUACACCUAAACUUCAGACAUCAAAAACAAGGAGCUCCUUCUACAGAUUAGUUAUUCUGAUUCUGAACCUGAAGCUCUACAGAAUCUGAAGCACAACAGGGAGGGAAGUAGCCACGCAGCCUCUCUCCUCCUACCAAUGGCCGGCAAUCCUCCCCCCGGCCGCAUGCCUCUAUCCUCCUCCCAGCGGCCGGCGAGCCUCCCCCCGGCCGGCGUGCCUCCCCCUCCUCCCAAUGGCCGGCGCGCCUCCGCGUUCUGCCCCCAGACCGGCGCGCCUCCCCUCCUACCAACGUAGUCGCCAGUUCUGCCACCUCGCUUCUUAACUAACACCCGAGG
rnacentral:lncRNA from 1 species